rnacentral:rRNA from 1 species
GGACCAUUAAUUUAUUAAUGGUUAGUGGCGUAAGGGUUAGUAAUGGACAGGUAACGUACCCUGUGCUCCGGAAUAGCGUCGUUCGCCUUCGGGCGAGCUUCCGAAAGGGGCGGUAAUACCGGAUAAUAUCAUUUGUUGAUGGGCGAAUGAUCAAAGAUUUAUCGGCAUAGGAGCGGCCUAUCUCCUAUCAGCUUGUUGGUGAGGUAACGGCUCACCAAGGCAGCGACGGGUAGCGGGACUGAGAGGUUGGCCCGCAACAUCGGGACUGAGACACUGCCCGGACCUCCACGGAGGGCUGCAGUAACGAAUCUUGCGCAAUGGGCGAAAGCCUGACGCAGCGACGCCGCGUGUAGGAGGAAGUCUUUCGGGAUGUAAACUACUGUCAGGGGUAGGAAAGUUCGCUUCGGCGGAUUGAUCUAACCCAAAGGAAGUCACGGCUAACUUCGUGCCAGCAGCCGCGGUAAGACGAAGGUGGCAAGCGUUGUUCGGUAUUACUGGGCUUAAAGCGUGUGUAGGCGGAAAGGUAAGCGUUCUGUGAAAGCCCCCGGCUUAACCGGGGAACUGCUCGACGAACUGCUUUUCUUGAGGCAAGUAGGGGUGCAUGGAACUCUUGGUGGAGCGGUGGAAUGCGUAGAUAUCAAGAGGAACGCCGGCGGUGAAAACGGUGCACUGGGCUUGUUCUGACGCUGAGACACGAAAGCGUGGGUAGCGAACGGGAUUAGAUACCCCGGUAGUCCACGCCGUAAACGAUGUCUACU